UACGAAGGGGGCUAGCGUUGCUCGGAAUCACUGGGCGUAAAGGGUGCGUAGGCGGUUCUUUAAGUCCGGGGUGAAAUCCUGGAGCUCAACUCCAGAACUGCCUUUGAUACUGAAGAUCUUGAGUGCGGGAGAGGUGAGUGGAACUGCGAGUGUAGAGGUGAAAUUCGUAGAUAUUCGCAAGAACACCAGUGGCGAAGGCGGCUCACUGGCCCGAUACUGACGCUGAGGCACGAAAGCGUGGGGAGCAAACAGG
rnacentral:rRNA from 1 species